UCAGGUGUACUCGGACCCAAGCUCGAGCUUGUUAAUAAACCCUAGUGUGCUUGCAUCAGUGUCGGCUCCUCGGUGGUUUCUCGGAUUUGCAAUCGUGGGCACAACAUUUGGGGGCUCGUCCGGGAUCCGAGAGACCCCAGGACCCCACCCAGAGGGUACCAAGCCUGCCUACUUGGGAUGACUGCCAACAGCUCUUGCAGGUUCUCUUCACCACCGAAGAGAGGGAACGAAUUCAGGUGGAAGCCUGGAAGUCUGUCCCGGGAGAGGACAGACAUCAGACUCAAAAUCCAGACCUCAAAUGCUGCCUUCCCCUUAUCCCGCCCCACCUGGGACCACAACUUGGCUGAAGGCUCCAGACAGUUCUGAGGAGCACCAGCCAGCAGAUAGAGGGAAUUCCAACUGGGAUUCAUUCUGAUGUUUCAGACCCUGCUGCCAAUAGAAGCUACCAAAUCAUGAUGGAGCGUCUCAUUCCUGUCUGAUUCCUAGUCUAACAUUUCCAACUGCAGAUGCCCAGAUGACAUGUGACCCAAGAAUGAGCAAACACGCCUGGAUUUCAGGGUUUUCUUUUCAUAGAGUUUUGGAAGUUUCAUUUUUGUUUUUAACUCACCUUCGGCAGAAGAAUACAAUUAUGGAGAAGAGGAAAAAUCAGUCAAGGGACACCGUGCCUCCUCGAAGCCAGAAUUCCAGCCUUUACAAUUUCUGCCACCACUCACAUCUGCCAGGCUUUUGUCUCCGAAAGAGUUUGUUCCAGAUAUCUGUAGUGUCAGGGAGAUGUUUCUGUAACUCAUUUUUAAUUUGGUCACAUUUGUAUUUACCAAACGAAGGAGAUUGAUUCUCCAUUUUUCAGUCUAGGAAGAAAUGCUAUGGGUUUAAAAAUAUUUUUUUUUUUCACGAUUAAGAAAUAGGUCCCUGGUAUGAAGCAGAGGAAGAGUGUAAGUUGAUGAACUGAUUGUAGUGCUUGUCAUUACGAUCCCAUUACUGCUCUAUUAUUUACAUUAAAGCCAGAGAAUAAUAUUUACUUUAAAGUGAGAAGCAGGAGGAUUUAUUGCAAUGAUCUUUUCUGACACAUGGCUGAAUUCCACAUCCCUUCAUCUCCUAUCCAUUUGGCCUCAACAGUCUUUGUUUUACAACUUUUCCCCUCAAGACACUGUCCCUGGCCCCUACUUCCAUGACGACUUACCCUCCUCAAACUUAUUCCUCCAUUUACUUUCUUUGAACUCAUUCCAAUGGCUCCUCAUGUCUUGUGAACUAAUGAGAAGAAUCAAAAAUUCCUUGGUAAGAGCAGAAUAAAGAACAACAUAUCCAAAAGAGAAGUUCCCCGUAAUACAAAUAUUGCCCUACUUUAAAAACAACAUGUCACGUGCUUUCUAAAAUAUGUGUGUAUAUGUGAUCUUCUGGAGUCUUCGUCAUAAUUCUGUGAAACAUGUAGGUGUGUUGGUUACUUUCCACGUGUCUUCUCCCGACUCCCUUAUCUACAGUUUUUCCCCUGCCUGCUCUCUUUCCUCCAGGUUGUCUUGCUGCUGGCUUUCCACUUGGUCUUCAGGAAGCAGUAGGAGUAGGUUCAAGGCACAUUGGGAGAGAUUGGGCUCCAGAGCCACCCUCUGGGGGUGGUUGAUCCCCCCUCACCAACCAGGGCUCCACAUGCCAUCCCAUCUCCACUCGCUAUUCUCCUUGCUUUUCCUUUCAGCCCUAAGGUUGGUAACAACCUUCUGCUUAAAUAGCCUCAGGUGUCUCACCAGCUUUUAAUCUCUUUAAGCCACACCUUUGUAAGUGGUUCCCUUAUCAACAUCUUCAUUGGAGCUAUCUUGAGCGAAUUCUGUUUCUCGCUUUUUCCUUGACCAACAAAACUGGGCAUAUUUUUUAGCCAUCAAUUUUGCUGAGGAAAUUAAAGUACAACGAAGUAAGUGACCUAUCUUUUUUUUUUUUUUUAAGAUUAUUUAUUUACUUAUGAGAGACACAGACAGGGAGAGAGAGAUUGGCAGAGACACGGGCAGAGGGAGAAGCAGGCUCCAUGCAGCCUGACGUGGGACUCAAUCCUGGGUCUCCAAGAUCAGGCCCUGGGCUGAAGGCAAUGCUAAAUCACUGAGCCACCCGGGCUGCCCAAGUGACCUAUCUUAAGUAACACAUAGAGUUCAGGAUAGAACAAGGCUGGGAGCCAAGUCUCCUUGUGGGUAGUUCGUGUUCACCACACUCUGAUGCCUGAAGAUGAUCUUAAUCAAAUGGGUAGUAACAGUAUUCCAUCUUAUUCAUUGGGGUUUAUCAAGAUCCUAGAACAGGGAAAAAUAUCAUGUGCUUGGCUUAUCCAAAGUACACUCGACACCCUCUAGCUUGCCUCCAUGUACCAUCAGUGAGAGAGAGUUAAAGCAUGUAUCUGGCUAUGUUUCUAUGCAUAGAUGCUUCUAAUGAGUUUGAGUGUAGACAUGAAGGUUAGGAAGCAGCGGACGUGCAUGGGCAUGGGGUGUGUGUAUUCCAGCUUGUACUGGAGUGUCUGCUUUCUCUGCAGCACCGUUCCCAGCAGCACGGUGACCUUUCUGCAAGAACACACCCCAGGGCAUCUCUGAGCAUCAGUGCAGGCUCAAUUUCUGUGACGACAUCCAAGUGCAACUUCCCGCCCCCCUCCAGGGAUGUCUUGAGGCAUCUGAUGCUCUUUAGUAAACCCCAUUAUGCCUCAGUGAGUAAGAAACUAGGUAUUUUUGAGUCUGUAGCUAACAACAUUGGUCUAUGACUUCCAGAUGAAAUAAUAGUUAUGCUUUUCCCCAGCCAUGUAAAGCCUCCCGAUCUAUACUGAAAACCUGUUUCCCUAUUUCCCAUGCCUUAUUUUUCUUCCUUAUUGCAGUAAGAGAUCUUACAAUUCAUUCCCAAAGGAAAUAUUUUGUGUAUUAUCAGGUUCAAGGUCUGUCUUUUCUCUGUCCACCAUCAUUCACUAUCACUGAGCCCUUUAUUCCCUCCUCUCCUGCAGCAAAACAGGUAAAAAGGAGAAGACUGUCUCAGGGGUCUUUUUCUUUCUGGCUGUUAGGAGAGCUGGCUCUCAGGUAGUAAUGUCAGGUACGGAAGUUAGAAGUUUUGAAAAUCCUAUCUUUCCCCCUCUCUACUGGGGAGAAUAACAUCCUGUGUGAUGAGAUUUUUGUAGACCUUAUUCCCUCCUUUCUAUGCCUAUGCCUAUUUUAAAAAUAACUUGAGAUAAUAAAGCCUGGAGGGAGAAUAAAAUAAAGGAAGAAAAAUAACAUAAUACAUUGGAAUUUACAUAUAUUGAAAUGUAUCUUGUUUUGUCAAAGGAACCUGGGAAACAGAGAUAGACUUUUACAAGUUCCAUCAAGUAGCUGGAGAACCUGGAAGUAUUGUGAGGUUUAAAGAUGAACAUUGUUUGUUGACAAUCCCAAAUGUCCAAAUUCUUGUCUUAAAGAUGUCCUUGGGAGUCAUUAGGAACUGGAGCUUAUGGUUUCCUUAUGCCCUGCCCUAUCUGCUGUUUCCAGCCACCAGCCCCAUAAUUAUGCAUAGUUUGAAAUUUUGGAUUCCUUAAUAAUUUUAGAAGUACAUAUUAAAUUUCAAGUAAAUUAACAUUCUUGAAAGUAGCACAUCCAUGUGUCUUCCCACAAGUGCCCAUGCACACACAAUAGUGAUGCAUAACAAUAUAUAGAUGUAUAUACACUUGUGUGUGAGGUAUCGAAAGGAAGAACAAAUUCAUUUUUUUUUGUCUUUCUGCUAAUAAAGAAGAAACUAUUUUGUAGGCUGAUCAUAGGUUCACAGGUGUAUUCCAGCUGCCUUACUGCCCAGCUCAUAUUCAACACCGCAUUGGAACAAAAACCCCUCACACCAUCCCCAUUCUCAAUAAAGGAUACUCUUCAAGUCUGAUACUGAUGGACCUACCUAGAACAAGUUAUGGUUUUUACAGUUUUUCAUUAAUACAUUCAUUUAUUUCACAAACAUUUAUUCUGUGACAUCUCCAAAAUGUCAGGCACUUGCUCAGGGCUAGAGAUGCAAGGAUGGACAAGAUGGGACCGGGCAGAAGGUGCUGGUGCUGCCAGAUGGACAAUGUCUUCAACUGUGGAUCAUUUGCUGUGUAAACACGGGCAAAGGGGACUGCUGGGGUAUGGUUUGGGGAAAAAUAAUUGUGUACAUCAGAUCCUUCCCUCUUGCAGUUCUCAGCCAAAGUAGAGAGGUCAACAUCUCAAAUGAAGAUUGUGUCAUCAAAGGGCUUUGAUUUAAAGCACUAAGGCACUCACUUAAAGGUCAAUUAUCCAUGAGUAUACAUUUUAGAAACACCCCAAACCAUAUAUCCUUUGGAAAUGAGAGUCAUACUUUUUAAAAAUGAUUACAUUUGAAAGGGAAAUCUCAUGAAAGAUGUUUUGUGUCCUAGGAUGAAAUAAUUGUCUUCUUUGUAAACUACUGAAUGUAUGUGGCUUUAGUCUUCAUUUAUGAGUGUAGAUAAUGUAACUGUCUUCAAAAUGGGAAUGUGUUUUAUACAUUGGUUUUGUGCAUUUUAAUCAAUUAGAGCUUCAGAAAGAU